rnacentral:lncRNA from 10 species
GCCCGGGCCGCUCUGGAGAGAGGAAGCGCCCAGCUCAGCACUUAUUGUUUAAAGAAGGUUUCACAAAGCCCCGAGGCCGAGGCUGUGAGUCGUUCCUGUGGAAUCGGGGAGCCUGCAGGGAGGUCACCCUUUGUUCCCUCUGACAGAGGCGGCUUGGCUGGUGGCUGUGGUCUCAGCAGAACCCUGAAGUCAGCAGAGCUUGUAUCAGGGACCUUCCCACUUUCCUUGCUCACACUCCCGGCCUUCCCUCCCUGCGGGAAGGCUCCCAUCCCAGGCCCAGCCGGUGUCUCCUCUCCAGGACAGGCGCGGAGGAGGAGGCAGAGUAAAACCAGCCACCGCUCAGUGAGCACGUGCUACGCCCCAGGCCCCGGAGGGGAACAGGCUUUUUUCCUGUUCGGUGGAAAUGUUUGUGCUGCCAAGAGUCCAGCAGAGGAGAGACAGGAGAGGAAGACAGCACCUGCAUGGUCCCACGUGCGGGGCGUUUUGUGGGGAGCUCCAAGCUGGGAACAGAGGCCUUUCCCUGUUGCUCAGAAGGCUGCAUGGAGAGACGGGGAUCUCACUGUGUUGC